GACAGUUUGGCCGAGUGGUCUAAGGCGCUGGCUCAAGGCGCCAGUCCGCAAGAGCGUGGGCUCGAACCCCACAGCUGUCA
rnacentral:tRNA from 1 species